CCACAGGAACUGGGCUUCUGGGGAUUGAGCAAUAGUCAGGACUGGGGUCUGGAGGCGGUGCAGGGUGGGAAAGGAGGGGGAGAAGGAGUUGGCCAUUGCAGCCCUGGCGGAAGGAGGCCGAGUCUCCCAGAUCUCUGGUGCCAGCCAGGGUGGCCCCCAGAUGGCUGGGGCUUGUAAGGCCCUACACUGCUCAGUUUCCUUGCAGAGCCUAGCCCAGGAAUCACAGUCCUCACAGCUGUAUUCUACCAGCCGCAAUGCCCGCCAUCUUCUGGUUUCAGCCUGCAAGGUUUGGAGAACAGCUGUGCCCAUAGAAGCCAGGACACUCACCCAGCCCCUCUUAAUUCUUUCCCCCAGGGCUGUCAUUCCUGUAGUGUGGCAGCAGUUAAGUAUACAGCUUGGAGCCAGGCUUCCUCACUUUCUGGGUGUGUAACCACCCAUCCAAAAUCCACCUGUGUCUCAGUUCCCUGAUCCGUACAGUGGGAAUAACAAUAGUGUGAAGGGUUAUCAGGAACACCACGUGGGUUCUACAGGUAAAGUGCUUUCCAGUAGGGCCUGACAUACAGCAUUCAAUGAAUAUGAACUGUUACCAUUAUCCUAGUUAGAAGGGAAAAGGGAAAUGGGCUGUUCAUAAGACAGAAUUUUCUCUCUCACUUGGAAUUUUCUGCCCCAGUUUAGCCUUCUUGGAACUGUUGGGUGUCUCUUGUGUGCACAUUUUCACACUGGCAUUUAUUUUGUGCACACACAUGCUUGAACUCCUGAUCAUCCAACAGGAUGGGACAGGAUAUUUUCCAGAGUACUGGGGGUAGGGGUGUGUUUUUCUAAAGGUGCAGAUUCCCAUGAAGGGUGAUCCAAGCAUGGGGACCCACAUGUGCUAAGGUACAAAGGUGUGAAAUGGCCCAGUGCAUCAGGGAUUGGCUGGGGGAGGCUUGAGGCAAUUCCAAGGGUAGGAAAUUGAGUUGUGCUGGGAGUGGUAGCAGAAGAGGCUGGAGAAACCUGCAGGGGCCUGUGGAUUGCCAGGGUCUGCUUUAGUUUCCUGCAAACACUCACUUAUUUGUUCUUUUAUUCAUUUAUUUACUCAUAUUUACUGUGCAUCUACCUUACAGGAAGGGAAUGUGUUUGGAGAUGGGAAUUCACAGGAAGGAGAAGACAGGCCUCCACCCAGAGGGCCAAGCGUUGCCCAGCCUUGCUUCAAGGACCUGGGGGCUGAAGUCUGAGGCCACCUGAAGAUCACUCUGCAGGCAUGGUGUUAACAGAACCAUGGAGCCUUGGUGUUCCUAGACGUGAUGGUGACCAUUGCUGAGAAAGCUUCAGAACCAGAAGCAUGACUGAACACAAGACAUGCUCCUGAUGUCUAACUUUAGCUGAGACCUCACAGCUGCCUGGUCAUCCUCUUCAGAACUCCUGGAGGUGCCCUGGUAAGCCCUACAGUAGCUGUUUCAAAUCAUCACUCUCCUCAAACACACACUUUCACUCCCUUCUCCUUCCUCCCUAGGAGUAAAUUGAGACUGUCAAGUAUGAGCAUUCUCACCCUCUUUCAGAUCAGAUCCUCCAUUAUCUUCCCACCUGCACCCAGCCAGCCUGAGCAGCCAGGAAAGCACUAGAUGUUGGUCAGGACCAUGGCCAGCGCCAGCCACUGUUCUAGGCUCGGGAGGCAUGUGACCGGAACAGCUGACAUAGGAACAGGCCUCUCAAAGCUGGAAUAACUACAGUUCUAUCGGGCUUAUCAUCAGCCCAACCUGGGACAGCCCCUGCAAAGCCUUGCCUGAGAAAUGGGCUUAAGGCAGUGAUUGGUGAUGUUCACUCCACCCUCGGCUGGGGCCACCAAACUACAAACAACAGAGCCCACAAAUUUCAUUCACCAAUAAGCAGCCACUUUAGACUUCUCUUUCCCAGUUAAGUCUUUGAUUGUGUUCUCCUUUCACUUUAUCUUACCUUCCUGCAACCAAACCCCUGCCUUCAGGUCCCAACCUUUAUCCCACCUCUGAUCCAGCUUAGACUUGACCCUUCUUCCCAUCUCUCUCUUUGUAUUUGUACCAUCAUCCUGUGACACUUUCAGCUCAGGCAACUCUUCCAUUUUAACACCUCAUAUUUUCCAAAUUGAAGAUCUCAGCCUCUGUUCAGGCCCAAUGAAUCCCCUCUCCAUGGCAAGCCAUCUCCUGGGGAGUGUGUGUGCAUGUGAGUGUGUGAUUAUGACACUGGACUAGGUCUCAGGCAGACAGCUGGCCAGUUUGGCAGCAGCUAAUGGGCCCAACUGAAGUGAUGCUGGAUGUUACACCAAGGGAAGGGCUGGUUGAGAACUCAGGAGAUGAGACAAACCCAGGUUCUCAACCCGGUGCAGACAUCGCAGGCAUUAUAGGGCUGAGGUGGAAGCAUAGGGAACCUCUCCUGCCUCUUGAUUCAGUCAGAACUGCUCCAGAUUCUGACUGGCGUUAGGAAGGAUAUCCAACCUGCCCAUGAGGGAAUAGUGUGGGUACUGAAGCCUGAGUAGGGGUUAAGCACACAGACUUUGGCUUCUUAAAAAUCUCUGCUUAAACCCAGAUCUGCUAUUUAUUAGUUAUGUGGCUCUGGACAAGUUUCUUAACUCUCUGAGCCUACCUUCACUAUCUGGGUAUAUAAAGCUAUGGCAUAUUGUUAAUAAUAAAAAAAAAAAGGUAGCCAGUAUAUUUUCCUUCCUCCUCAGUCUAUUUCUUCCUGAAAUCUUCCUUCUAUCCUCCUGCCUCCCUCCAUCCCAAGUGUCCAUUUCCUUUUCACAGGUGACCAUUCUCUCUGCUCUAGAUGGUCCCCUGCAACUUGCUUUCUCACCUGGUCCUCUCUUCCAGGGUCUUUGAUUUCUCCACUCUCUCUUGUUCACACAUUUCUUCUUUUUCUGUUUUAAAAAAUAAGUUUCAACCUUUUCACUAUGUGGAGAAUUUAAAAUAUACACAAAAAUACAAGUAUAAUAAGCCCCAUCUACGAAUAAGCCAUCCUCAACCAGUUAAUCAACUCAUGGCCAGUUUUCAAUUGGUCCACUCCCUGUCUCAUGUAUAAUUUUGAAGUAAAUCCCACACAUCAUAUUAUUUCAUCCAUAAUGAUUUCAGCUAAGAGACUGUUUUAAAACUGAAAGUAAAACCUACAGAAUUUCCCAUUGUUUCAGCAAUGUCAUAUAUAUUUUCCAGGCUUAAAAAAAUUACAUCCGAACAAGUCUGCACAUUGCAUUUGGUUGAUACAUCUUUUAGGUCUAUUUUAUUUUACUUGGUUUUAUUUUUGUUAUUUGUUCGUUUUUAGGGUUUUUUUUUUUUUUUAGACAGAGUCUUGCUCUGUUGCCCAGGCUGGAGUGCAGUGACAUGAUCUCGGCUCACUGCAACCGCCACUUCCCGGGUUUAAGCGAUUCUCCUGCCUCAGCCUCCUGAGUAGCUGAGAUUACAGGUAUGCCAACACUAUGCCCUGCUAUUUUUUUGUAUUUUGCUAGAGACAGGGUUUCACCAUGUCGCCCAGGCUGGUCUUCAACUUCUGAGCUCAGGAAAUCCUCUUGCCUCAGCCUCCCAAAGUGCUGGGAUUCCAGGCAUGAGCCACCAUGCCCAGCUUUUUCAGUCUAUUUUACUUUGUGGUUUCCCUCUCCAUCUUUAUGUUCCCUUGCAAUAUAUCUGUUGAAGAAAGCAGAUUCCUGUAGAAUUUCUUGUGAUGUGAAGUUUGCUGAUUCAUCCCCACAGUAUUGUUUAGCUUUCUCCUCUGUGCCCCACAUUUUCUAUAAAUCGAUUCUUAGCUAUAGAGGCUUUUCAGAUUUUUUCUUUGGCAAAUACUUCAUAAGUGGUGGUACAGUCUUCCACCAGGAGGCACCGCACCUGACGUGGAGGGGUGCUCCUUUUGUCAUGCUAGCAACUGUUCUUGCUCAACACUGAGAUCCACUAAUUCAUUUGAGGUUGCAAAGUUGAUCAUUCCUUUUUAUGUGUUAUUCGGCUUACUUCUGUAAGGAAAGUAUACUUACUCUCACUCAUCAUUUGGCCUGUACAAGAAAGGCAAGAGGAAUGCUUUAUUCUUUCUUUAAUUAACAUGUUUUUAAAAUCAUGCACUAGUUCAUUAGCACUCUUCAAUUAUGACUAGAUUUUCGUUUUUGGUAUAAUUAUAAAUGAAUGAUUUAGACAUGUUUGAUAUAUGACAAUCUAUUAUAGUUAGUAUUGUUAUUGACUUUCAGAUUAUUCUUUUUUUUCUUAUGAGACAAGGUCUCACUCUUUUACUCAGGCAGGAGUGCAGUGGAGUGAUUAUAGCUCACUGCAGCCUCAACCUCCUGAGCUCAAGCAUUCUUCUGCCUCAGCUUCCUGAGUAACUAGGAUUACAGGGGGGUGCCACCAUGCUCAGCUAACUUUUAAAUCUUUUGGUAGGGUGGGAUUUCACUAUAUUGCCCAAGCUGGUCUCAAACUCCUGAUCUCAAGCAAUCUUCCCGCCUUGGCCUCCCAAAGUGCUGGGAUUUCAGACAUGAGACAUUGUGCCAGGCCACAUUAAUCUAUCUGUGACCAGUAGUUAGUUCUUGAGUUCUUUGGGCUAAUCCAAGUAGUCUUUGAUGGCCUCUUUGCCAUGUGGAUGAGAAGAUAUCCCAGGCGUAGUUUAUAUAUUUCUUGCUAGACCUGGGUCAGCCAUUUUCAGGGAGCCCUGCUUCUUUUUUUGUAACACCUGGUAUUUCCAGACCACAAUCUGGGCACUUUGGGUGUUGAUUGCUAGUUUGUUGGCCACUGUCUCUAGGAUUCUUUAGUGGACAAAGAGAUUAAAUAUGUUUUCUUUUUAAUUAAUUCUUUGAGAAUCUAUGCUGAUACUUCCAAUACAAAAUCUGGACUACAGAUAGAGCUCUCAUUAUGCUUCCAUCUUGCAUCUGUAUCUCUUUUCUCUCACAUUGAGAAUCCUGGUUCAUAAGGGUUCCAAAAUGAUAACAUUAAGAUAUCAUAUAUGAGAACUAAAAAGAAAAUUCUAAGCCCCUCAACUGACUGAAUGGACCAUUUCUUGGCCAAGUGGACCCUGAGGAACCUUGAAAACUGAGUUCUCAGCCACGAUGGAUAGGGGUCUAGACGCACCUCGUUAUACCCACUCUCUCACUAACACCAUUAGCCUUUCUGCUCUGAGUGCUAAAGAGAAAGCAACCCUUUCGAAACACGUCACCACAGAGACCAACAAAUACCUGAUGCUGGUCCUCCAUUUCUGCUAAGAGUCCACCGAGCAGGGACUGAUUCUGGCCAGUCUAUGGCGAGUGCUCAGUAAGGGCCCUCAUGUCCUCUGCUUCAGCUUCUGAAGUCAGGGGGCAGGAAACCCCAUGCUCAGAUCAUACUGAGGCUGCCACUCUUUGAACACGGGUCCCCAUGAAAAGCAUGAAGUUCAAUUGCACAUGUUCCUCCUUCUCCUUUCACAAAUAUUCAUGACUCCUCCUAUAGCUGACUGAAUAUGUGUAUUCAGCCACCCUGCUCCACAUACAUUCCUGUUCCCUCUGCCUCUCCCUCAAAGUGUCUGUUUUUUGGCUUCUAGCCAGAGUCUAUGUUCUGGCUUAUGACAGGCCUAUGCAGCCUGUCAGCAUGGCCACCCUGAGGGCUGCAGACUUUUAUGAGAAAUAAAGCUCUCCUUUCCAUAUUUGUGAACCUUGUCACUCUUCAGUUGACACACAGUUACUCAUUUGCUUCAUCUUGCAUUAUGGUUUAAGAGUCUCAGAAUAAUAACACCAAUGUUCUCAUUAGUAAUAUGUAUACUGAAAAGUAUUAAAAAUUUCUUGAACUUCUAGCUGGGCGCAGUGGCUCACAUGAUAUUCCCAGUACACUUCGGGAGGUUGAGAUAGGUGGAUCGCUUGAGCUCAGGAGUUCAAGACCAGCCUGAGCCACAUAGCAAAACCCCAUCUCUGUCAAAAAAAAAAAAAAUUAGUUGGGUGUAGUGUCACAUAGGUCCCAGUUACUCAGGAGGCUGAGAUGGGAGGAUGGAUUGAGCCUGGGAGGUAGAGGUUGCAGUAAGCCAAGAUUACACCACUGUAUUCCAGCCUGGGCAAGAAAGCAAGACCCUGUCUCAAAAACAUUUCUUUUUAUUUGACUUUUUAUUUUCAGGGUUUAUCCCACUAGGGAUGUACAGUUACAUUACUAUAUGAAGGUGCUCCUAUCUGUAUUAUACUGCCAGCUUAAUACACAGCUAGACUCAUGCUUUUCUUUUUCUUUUUUUUUUUAAUUAGGGAUGGCUUUUGUGAUGUGAUAUAAUGAGAAAUUCAUAUUUGGUCUCAGCCCCCAAUUUCUGAGUCAGAAUUCCUAAUACCUUUGUAGAUAGGUGUUGUGGGAUAAGCUUCUUUGUUAAUAUUUGGUCUUUAACCCUGGUUCCUGACAGAGCACCUAAGAUCUUUGUAAUUUUCUGAAUAAAAGGACACUCUCACAUAGAGCUCCUAAAUCCCUUGGAGUUUCCUGGGUGUUAGGAGUGUUUUUUCAUUCUAAUGAAGCCAUCCUUGGUGAGCUCCUGAAUAGCCUUAGAAUGGGGGCUGGUUGCCAUAAGACCCAACCGUGUGAGUAGAGGAUUGAAACUGUCAGCUCCUUUCCCCACCCUAGACCUCCAGGGAGUGGAGAAGGGCUGAAGGUUGAGUUGAUCACCAACGGCUAAUGAUAGAAUCAGUCAUGUCUAUGUAAUGAAGUCUCUAUAAAAACCUCAAAAGACAGGAUUCCAAGAGCUUCCAGAUUGUGGAGAAGAUGGAGGUGCCUCGAGAGUGGUGUGCCCAGACAGGGCAUGGAAGUUCAGUGCCCUGUUCCACAUGCCUUGCCCUAUGCAUCUCUCCCAUCUGGCUGCUCAUCUGUAUCCUUUGUAAUAUACCUUGUCAUAAACAGGUAACAUUAAGUAAAGUGUUUCCUUGAGUUCUGUAAGCUGCUCUAACAAAUCAACCAAAUCCGAGAAUAGGAUUGUGGGAACCACUGAUUUAUAGCUGAAUUAUCAGAAGAGUAGGUCACAGUCCGGAAUUUACAACUGGCAUCUGAAGUGGUGGCAGUCCUCUGGGACAGUCCUUAAUCUGUAGGAUCUGAUGCUAUCUCCAUGUAGGUAGUGUCAGAGUUGAAUCAAGUUGUAGGACACCCUCCUGGUACCCACUGGAGAAUUGUUUGUCGUUGGGAGGGGGAAACACAUACCCAUUUUGAUGACCAGAGGUGGGAUAUUUUGUACUGAAUGUUUGCUACAAUUGUUUAGUAGGAAAAACUGUUUGUUUGUUUGUUUGUUUACCUAUCUCAGAUGACUUUGGUGUUUUGUUUUUGUUUUUUUUUUUGAGACAAGGUCUCGCUCUGUCACCCAGGCUGGAGUGUAGUGGCACCAUCACAGCUCACUGCAGCCUUGACCUCCUGGGAUCACGUGAUCUGUCCACGUCUCAGCCCCCUGAGUAGCUGGAACCACAAAUAUUGAGGGUGCAGUGGAGGCCUCUGAGAUUCUAGAGGACAAGGAAGCCACUAGCUGGAAGAAACUUGGGUUCCUGAGUGAUGUGUGGAGCAGAGCUUCAUCACCAACCUCCAUGUGAUUGGAGUGACAAAUAAACUUGU